rnacentral:rRNA from 1 species
AGAGCGAACGCUGGCGGCAGGCCUAACACAUGCAAGUCGAGCGCCGUAGCAAUACGGAGCGGCAGACGGGAGAGUAACACGUGGGAACGUACCCUUCAGUUCGGAACAACCCAGGGAAACUUGGGCUAAUACCGAAUACGUCCGUAAGGAGAAAGAUUUAUCGCUGAAGGAUCGGCCCGCGUCUGAUUAGCUUGUUGGUGAGGUAAUGGCUCACCAAGGCUACGAUCAGUAGCUGGUCUGAGAGGAUGAUCAGCCUCACUGGGACUGAGACACGGCCCAGACUCCUACGGGAGGCAGCAGUGGGGAAUAUUGGACAAUGGGCGCAAGCCUGAUCCAGCCAUGCCGCGUGAGUGAUGAAGGCCCUAGGGUUGUAAAGCUCUUUUGUGCGGGAAGAUAAUGACGGUACCGCAAGAAUAAGCCCCGGCUAACUUCGCGCCAGCAGCCGC